GGGAAGCAGAGAGGACCAGACUGCCUGGGAGAGCAAACAGUGUACCUGAGGCAGAGAAGGGCUUGGGGAAAGGCAGACAGAGCUGAGGUGCUUUCGCCUGUUUCACCUGUUCAUACUGCAGCUACAGAACAGCAGCGUCUCAGACUGCAGCAACUCACAGAAACAGGCUGCUACUAGACAGUGCAGUGCCUGACAAGUGCAUCAUUCAAACCCUGCUGAAGAUGGCCCGGCACAUUUGAUGCACACAGGACAGCAGUGUUAUUUUAAAUGCGAAAAGCAGCACAUUGGCCAUAAGGACACGAGCUUCUCAGCAGACAGCAGCAAGUUAACCAGGAAAACAACAUAGCCGACAUCCAGUGGAAAAGCAGCCCGGGGACGGAG